AUAUAUAGGUGCAUAUUGCUUGAUGG
rnacentral:piRNA from 1 species